rnacentral:rRNA from 1 species
AGUGAACGCUGGCGGUAGGCCUAACACAUGCAAGUCGAACGGCAGCACAGUAAGAGCUUGCUCUUACGGGUGGCGAGUGGCGGACGGGUGAGGAAUACAUCGGAAUCUACUUUUUCGUGGGGGAUAACGUAGGGAAACUUACGCUAAUACCGCAUACGACCUACGGGUGAAAGCAGGGGAUCUUCGUACCUUGCGCGAUUGAAUGAGCCGAUGUCGGAUUAGCUAGUUGGCGGGGUAAAGGCCCACCAAGGCGACGAUCCGUAGCUGGUCUGAGAGGAUGAUCAGCCACACUGGAACUGAGACACGGUCCAGACUCCUACGGGAGGCAGCAGUGGGGAAUAUUGGACAAUGGGCGAAAGCCUGAUCCAGCCAUACCGCGUGGGUGAAGAAGGCCUUCGGGUUGUAAAGCCCUUUUGUUGGGAAAGAAAAGCAGCAGGUUAAUACCCCGCUGUUCUGACGGUACCCAAAGAAUAAGCACCGGCUAACUUCGUG